rnacentral:rRNA from 1 species
CCUACGGGAGGCAGCAGUGAGGAAUAUUGGUCAAUGGACGAGAGUCUGAACCAGCCAAGUAGCGUGAAGGAUGACUGCCCUAUGGGUUGUAAACUUCUUUUAUAUGGGAAUAAAAUGUUCCACGUGUGGGAUUUUGUAUGUACCAUAUGAAUAAGGAUCGGCUAACUCCGUGCCAGCAGCCGCGGUAAUACGGAGGAUCCGAGCGUUAUCCGGAUUUAUUGGGUUUAAAGGGAGCGUAGAUGGAUUGUUAAGUCAGUUGUGAAAGUUUGCGGCUCAACCGUAAAAUUGCAGUUGAUACUGGCAGUCUUGAGUACAGUAGAGGUGGGCGGAAUUCGUGGUGUAGCGGUGAAAUGCUUAGAUAUCACGAAGAACUCCGAUUGCGAAGGCAGUUCACUGGACUGCAACUGACACUGAGGCUCGAAAGUGUGGGUAUCAAACAGGAUUAGAUACCCUUGUAGUC